GCACACCGACCCCGAUCGACCCCCACCCCACCAAACUCUCUCUCUCUCUCUCUCCUCUCAUCCAUAGCCGCCGCCCCGCUCAUCCGCCCGGCGAUCCCACCGGCCGGCGCCCUCCGCCCCCAUCCCCUCCACCUUCCCCCACCUUCUAUCCAUCUAUAUGCCCCUAGACUAGAUCGAGCAGGCGGGCGCUGUCAGAUCGGGAUCGGUCAUGCCCACGGCGGGGCAUCUGGAUCCGCGCCGCCGUCGAUCCAGGACGCGACGUUCAGCUCCUUCUCCAAAUCCAAGCCAAGGGUGACGAGGAGUGAGGGGGCUUCCUCCCAGCUCUCUCUCCCGGGAUGCCGCCAUCCAUGCCAUCAAGCUCUGACCCCGCCGCCGCCGACAUCUUCGACCCAUAACGAGCAGCUUAGUCAAGGUAUCUCUCUCUCUCUCUAAUCGCAUCUGAUCUGGGCUUCUCUUGCAGACAGAUGUGCGGCAGGGGAGAAAAGGAAGAUUGGGAUGCCGGCAUCAUCUCUAGACACCGCCGCGCUUCUGCUACUGCUGCAACCCUAGCUAGCACCGACGACGCCAUGGAGCAAGUAAAGGCUUGGUUCCCUGAUGAUACGGUUUCCUCAUGCAAACAUGUGCAGUUUUGCCCGUGGAUUCUUCAUCCCCUCUGUGCAUCAUCUCUGGACACCACUCUUCCGCUGCUGCAACCCCAGCUAGCACCGAUGACGCCAUGCAUGCAGCAAGUCAAGAUGCGUGGGGAGAGAGCGCAGAAUGGGAUCCGGCAUCAUCUUGGAACGCCGCUCUUCUGCUGCUGCGACCCUACCACCGACGACGCCAUGGAGCAAGUCAAGGUAGGGGUUUUCUUGUUUAAUUUCAACUCGUGUGCAUGCGCAACAUCACCUGCUCAGUUCGUUCUGCUUGCUUGCCAUCAUCUGAAAGUGUUGUUCUCAUCACCAACCCCAGAUGGGCGGGGCUGGCAAGGACGUCUUGGACCUACUCCUCUUCUGCGCCGCCGCUUGAGCGGCCUCGGCAGAGGCCCCCGCGCUGCACUAGGUCCCGGAGGGGCUCUCCAAGGCGCCGGCCGCUGCCAUGGAGGAGAUGGCGCACACAAUUUAGUAUUCUUAGACCUUGAGCAUAACAAUUCUGAAGCCACUCGGGCUGACUUGGAAGGCAGCUUUUGUUAUCACCCUGAAUUUCAUAUUUGAUGCCAGGCAGCAGCAUCCCUCCCCCCACAAUGCUUUAGUUUGCUAUUACAUGGUUGCCUGUUUGAGCGGCAGUUUUUGUGUGCAUUGGUAGACUGUAUGACACUGUGUCCUUGUUUUUAUCACUUCACUCUAGUUUGUCUUCAACAAGUUCCACUCUGUUUAGAGAAGAUGCACUCUCUGUUUAGUUUUUAGCCAACCUAAUUUGCAAGUUUGUAUAGUCGCUAGGCUCUUCCAACAGUAGAUUCAUGGACUUUGUUAUGUUUGAAAAUGUGAAAGAUAUCAAGGUAUUGAAGUGACUACUUAGAAAAAUGGAUAGAUAGAAUAUUACCAGAAGAAUUAUGCCUCUAACUCCUUAUGUGGUUUGUAGGUGCUGUUUCUUUUUAGAACUUCCAACACAAUAGAAUUGCUUCUAAUCUUUUGCGUUAUCUUUUGUCAUGGAAGUAUCUAUGUGUUGCUUCACUGUGUAGUUCAGUUGUGCAUUACGUCUUAAAUAAGAAUCUUGGGAAAAUUUGUAGCACAUUUGCACUGACAUGUACUGCAUUGUUUUCUGUGUCAUUCUUUUGAAGAAUCUGAAGUUUCUGAACCUCUGUUGGUAAUGCUGCAGGGUUCGACGCUGACGGACGUCGAGAGGUUCAUGGACUUGACGGUUGCGUUGCUGCCGAUGUACGGAGAGGCGAAGCUACUGCUCGUCCUCUACCUCUGGCACCCCAGCAUACUGGGUGCGGGGCACGUGUACGAUGGCUUCCUCUGUCCAGUGGUGGUGACAACAUCGAGUGAUGCCUGUUGGAGCUGAGGGCCAGGGUGUGGGAGGUGACGGCGUCGCAACUCAAGGCAGUGGCUGCCGUUGGCCGGGUGUGGCUCGUCGAGGCUUCCCGGUGUGUUUUGUCGCAGGCGCCGCACAACAACUAACAAGUCUUGGUCUCAGGCAUCUAGAAGUAGUAGUAAAAUUCUAAAUUUGCAUGGCAAGAACCACUUACGUAGGUAGCUUCCUACCAAGUUGCCAUGGACAACACUGUGUCGCUACAAUGAGUCGCUACAAUGAGGAACUUUGUGAUAGUAAUUAUACAUGAGUUGUCGCUACAAUGAGGAACUCUGUGAUAGUAGAUACGGCAGUUGUGUGAUAGAAUGGAAUUGGUUGAUUUUAUUUUAUU